ACGCUCGACACCUACGGGAGGCAGCAGUGGGGAAUAUUGCACAAUGGGGGAAACCCUGAUGCAGCGACGCCGCGUGAAGGAAGAAGUAUCUCGGUAUGUAAACUUCUAUCAGCAGGGAAGAAAGUGACGGUACCUGACUAAGAAGCCCCGGCUAACUACGUGUCAGCAGCCGCGGUAAUCUGAGCGGGCUGGCAAGGC
rnacentral:rRNA from 1 species